rnacentral:rRNA from 1 species
UGGGGAAUAUUGGACAAUGGGGGACACCCUGAUCCAGCGACACCGCGUGAAUGAUGAAGGUCUUAGGACUGUAAAGUUCUUUCACUUGAGAAGAUAAUGACGUUAUCAAGAGAAGAAGUCCCGGCUAACUUCGUGCCAGCAGCCGCGGUAAUACGAAGGGGGCUAGCGUUAUUCGGAAUUAUUGGGCGUAAAGGGUGCGUAGGCGGCGCCUUAAGUAAGAUGUUAAAUACAUGGGCUCAACCCAUUGUGCGCAUCUUAUACUGAGGUGCUUGAGUUUGGAAGAGGAAAGUAGAAUUUCUAGUGGAGAGGUAAAAUUCUUAGAUAUUAGAAGGAAUACCGAUGGCGAAGGCAACUUUCUGGUACAAUACUGACGCUGAGGCACGAAAGCGUGGGGAGCAAA